ACUGCCCCUAGAGGCUUUGCAGGUGUGGCUACUGAGCCACACGUGUGUCCGCGCUGAGAGGAGGAAGGCUACAUCUACGCUAGGUGUUCUGAUCUGUGAAUGUCAGAAUGAUUAGUGCCUGUCUUA